AGGUGCUGCAUGGCCGUCGUCAGCUCGUGUCGUGAGAUGUUGGGUUAAGUCCCGCAACGAGCGCAACCCCUGCCCUUAGUUGCCAGCGGGUUGGGCCGGGCACUCUAAGGGGACUGCCUGCGAAAGCAGGAGGAAGGCGGGGACGACGUCUGGUCAUCAUGGCCCUUACGGCCUGGGCGACACACGUGCUACAAUGCCCACUACAGAGCGAGGCGACCCAGUGAUGGGGAGCGAAUCGCAAAAAGGUGGGCGUAGUUCGGAUUGGGGUCUGCAACCCGACCCCAUGAAGCCGGAAUCGCUAGUAAUCGCGGAUCAGCCAUGCCGCGGUGAAUACGUUCCCGGGUCUUG
rnacentral:rRNA from 1 species